GAUGAACGCUGGCGGCGUGCCUAAUACAUGCAAGUCGAGCGAACAGAUGAGGAGCUUGCUCCUCUGACGUUAGCGGCGGACGGGUGAGUAACACGUGGAUAACCUACCUAUAAGACUGGGAUAACUUCGGGAAACCGGAGCUAAUACCGGAUAAUAUAUUGAACCGCAUGGUUCAAUAGUGAAAGACGGUUUUGCUGUCACUUAUAGAUGGAUCCGCGCCGCAUUAGCUAGUUGGUAAGGUAACGGCUUACCAAGGCAACGAUGCGUAGCCGACCUGAGAGGGUGAUCGGCCACACUGGAACUGAGACACGGUCCAGACUCCUACGGGAGGCAGCAGUAGGGAAUCUUCCGCAAUGGGCGAAAGCCUGACGGGGCAACGCCGCGUGAGUGAUGAAGGUCUUCGGAUCGUAAAACUCUGUUAUUGGGGAAGAACAAAUGUGUAAGUAACUAUGCACGUCUUGACGGUACCUAAUCAGAAAGCCACGGCUAACUACGUG
rnacentral:rRNA from 1 species